AUUGAACGCUGGCGGCAUGCUUUACACAUGCAAGUCGGACGGCAGCACAGAGAAGCUUGCUUCUUGGGUGGCGAGUGGCGAACGGGUGAGUAAUAUAUCGGAACGUACCGAGUAAUGGGGGAUAACUAAUCGAAAGAUUAGCUAAUACCGCAUAUUCUCUGAGGAGGAAAGCAGGGGACCUUCGGGCCUUGCGUUAUUCGAGCGGCCGAUAUCUGAUUAGCUAGUUGGUGGGGUAAAGGCCUACCAAGGCGACGAUCAGUAGCGGGUCUGAGAGGAUGAUCCGCCACACUGGGGCUGAGACACGGCCCAGACUCCUACGGGAGGCAGCAGUGGGGAAUUUUGGACAAUGGGCGCAAGCCUGAUCCAGCCAUGCCGCGUGUCUGAAGAAGGCCUUCGGGUUGUAAAGGACUUUUGUCAGGGAAGAAAAGGCUGUUGCUAAUAUCGACAGCUGAUGACGGUACCUGAAGAAUAAGCACCGGCUAACUACGU
rnacentral:rRNA from 1 species